rnacentral:rRNA from 1 species
UACGGGGGGGGCAAGCGUUGUUCGGAAUUACUGGGCGUAAAGGGCUCGUAGGCGGCCAACUAAGUCGGACGUGAAAUCCCUCGGCUUAACCGGGGAACUGCGUCCGAUACUGGAUGGCUUGAGUUUGGGAGAGGGAUGCGGAAUUCCAGGUGUAGCGGUGAAAUGCGUAGAUAUCUGGAGGAACACCGGUGGCGAAGGCGGCAUCCUGGACCAACACGUGACGCUGAGGAGCGAAAGCCAGGGGAGCAAAGCGGG